rnacentral:rRNA from 1 species
GGAGUUAGCCGGUGCUUCUUCUGUGAGUGAUGUCCUUCCUGCCGGCUAUUAACCCGCAGGCCUUCUUCCUCACUGAAAGUGCUUUACAACCCGAAGGCCUUCUUCACACACGCGGCAUGGCUGGAUCAGGGUUGCCCCCAUUGUCCAAUAUUCCCCACUGCUGCCUCCCGUAGGAGUCUGGGCCGUGUCUCAGUCCCAGUGUGGCUGAUCAUCCUCUCAGACCAGCUACGGAUCGUCGCCUUGGUGAGCCGUUACCUCACCAACCAGCUAAUCCGACAUAGGCUCAUCCGAUAGCGCGAGGCCCGAAGGUCCCCCGCUUUCCCCCGUAGGGCGUAUGCGGUAUUAGCCUGGGUUUCCCCAGGUUAUCCCCCACUACCGGGCAGAUUCCUAUGCAUUACUCACCCGUCCGCCGCUCGCCACCAGGGAGCAAGCUACCCGUGCUGCCGCUCGACUUGCAUGUGUUAGGCCUGCCGCCAGCGUUCAAUCUGAGCCAGGAUCAAACUCUGA